GUGGAAAACUCCUGUCGAUGUGGGAGAAGGGCGUAGUGUUGCACCUCCCUUCGUUUCUGACAUAAUUGGAUCUAGAUUGGGCAUAGAAGACUUGAGUCGUAUCCAUGUCCAGUACAGGAUCCCAACCGCCUUCGAAUUAGAAUCUUUUAGGCUGAGUGGUAGAGUCAAUAGUCCACCUAGUAAGAACGAUCUAUAUGAAAAGGCUUUCAAAGUCGGACUUAGGCUUCCUAUCC
rnacentral:lncRNA from 1 species